GUCCUCUCAGGAUCUCACCUGGAGAGUUUCCAGUGUUCUACCAGUCUCGACUAUGGGAGGGAGAGUUAAGCAGAGGCAUAACCAUUCCAUUCCUAGCUUGGUCAAUGGUUAGCGGGUGGAAGGCAAUCUGCUAUAAGU